GAUGAACGCUAGCGGCAGGCCUAACACAUGCAAGUCGAGGGGUAACAGGGAUUGCUUGCAAUCCGCUGACGACCGGCGCACGGGUGCGUAACGCGUAUGCAACCUACCUUUUACAGGGGGAUAGUCAAUAGAAAUGUUGAAUAAUACCCCAUACGAUCGUUUAUUGGCAUCGAUAGACGAGGAAAACUCCGGUGGUAAAAGAUGGGCAUGCGUCCUAUUAGCUAGAUGGUGAGGUAACGGCUCACCAUGGCUACGAUAGGUAGGGGUCCUGAGAGGGAGAUCCCCCACACUGGUACUGAGACACGGACCAGACUCCUACGGGAGGCAGCAGUGAGGAAUAUUGGACAAUGGAGGCAACUCUGAUCCAGCCAUGCCGCGUGCAGGAAGACAGCCCUAUGGGUUGUAAACUGCUUUUAUACAGGAAGAAUGGUAUCUACGUGUAGAUAUUUGACGGUACUGUAGGAAUAAGGAUCGGCUAACUCCG
rnacentral:rRNA from 1 species